ACUCCUACGGGAGGCAGCAGUGGGGAAUAUUGCACAAUGGGGGAAACCCUGAUGCAGCGACGCCGCGUGAGUGAUGAAGGCUUUCGAGUCGUAAAACUCUGUCCUUGGGGACGAUAAUGACGGUACCCAAGGAGGAAGCCCCGGCUAACUACGUGCCAGCAGCCGCGGUAAU
rnacentral:rRNA from 2 species